rnacentral:rRNA from 1 species
UCUGGUUGAUCCUGCCAGUAGUCAUACACUUGUCUUAAAGAUUAAGCCAUGCAUGUUUAAGUGCUUUGAUUGUCCAACAUUAGACUGCAGACGGCUCAUUACAACAGUUAUUGUAUUAUUGAGGUUAUCUUAUAGGUGGAUACCUGUGGAAAUUCUAGAGCUAAUACAUGUUACAAAUUAUAUAUUGUCGUAAUAUAUAAAGCUUUUAUUUUUAUCAAAUUAAAGUGUUUCUGCACUAUGGGUGAUUCGUAAUAAUGCUUUUGAGAUCGCUUUAUAAGUGACGAUUCAUUCAAGUUUCUGACCUAUCAGUUAGUCAGUAGUGUAUUGGACUAUUGAGGCAUUGACGGGUAACAGAGAAUUAGGGUUCUGUUCCGGAGAGGGAGCCUGAGAAACAGCUACUACAUCUAAGGAAGGCAGCAGGCGCGUAAAUUACCCAAUUCUGAAAAAGAGAGGUAGUAAAAACAAAUCACAAUAUUUUGCCUUAGGGUUAAAUAAUUGUAUUGAGAACAGAGUAGGUACGUUAUCGAUAAACUAUUGGAGGGCAAGUCUGGUGCCAGCAGCCGCGGUAAUUCCAGCUCCAAUAGUGUAUGCUAACAUUGUUGCAGUUAAAAAGCUCGUAGUCGAAUUUUUAAGGGAACCAAUUUCGUGUGGUCUUAAUGAACUACAAGGGAAUAUGGUUUAUCUUAUUUUAUGCUUGUACACCGUUGGAAUUCGUUUUCUGACAGUGAGUUAAGUUUGUGUUUACUUUGAGAAAAUUAGAGUGUUCUAAGCAGUCUUACGGCUUUAUCCUAAAGCAUGGAAUGAUAAGUAAUGACAUCGGUUAAUUUGUGAUGGUUUGAGAGGUUGAUGUAAUGAUUUAUAGAGUUAGUCGGAGGUAUUAGUAUUUUGUCGUUAGAGGUGAAAUUCCGGGAUUGACAAAAGGCUAACAACUGCGAAAGCAUUUGCCUAGGAUUUGCUCCUUGAUCAAGAACGUAAGUUGGGGGAUCGAAGACGAUCAGAUACCGUCGUAGUCUCAACUUUAAACUAUAUCAGCUAGGGGUUGGCAAAUGUUUAUAUGACUUUGUUAGAACCUUUGGGAGAAAUCUAAGCGUUUGGGUUCCGGGGGGAGUAUGGUCGCAAGGCUGAAACUUAAAGGAAUUGACGGAAGGGCACCACCAGGAGUGGAGCCUGCGGC